CACGCAGGCGGUCUGUUAAGUCAGAUGUGAAAUCCCCGGGCUUAACCUGGGAACUGCAUUUGAAACUGGCAGGCUUGAGUCUCGUAGAGGGGGGUAGAAUUCCAGGUGUAGCGGUGAAAUGCGUAGAGAUCUGGAGGAAUACCGGUGGCGAAGGCGACCACCUGGACUGAUACUGACACUGAGGUGCGAAAGCGUGGGGAGCAAACAGGAUUAGAUACCCUCGUA
rnacentral:rRNA from 1 species